GCUAUCAUCAUGAGAUCGUGU
rnacentral:snRNA from 1 species